rfam:Lactobacillus sakei strain 23K complete genome.
UUAUAGACAAAGAUGAAAAAGAGUAACCUAACAACCAACUUUCAGGGAGAAUAAUCAUAGACUGUAAGUUAUUCAGUUGAGUUUAGGUGAAGUUCACUUUCAGAGUUGACCGUUGAGUCCGGUAUUGCCCGUUACGCAAACUUGAGUGUAUGACUAGGUCAUAAACUAGGGUGGUACCGCGAAGCUUCGUCCCUUUU